rnacentral:rRNA from 1 species
UACGGAGGGAGCUAGCGUUGUUCGGAAUUACUGGGCGUAAAGCGCGCGUAGGCGGCUUUGUAAGUCAGAGGUGAAAUCCCGGAGCUCAACUCCGGAACUGCCUUUGAGACUGCAUCGCUUGAAUCCGGGAGAGGUGAGUGGAAUUCCGAGUGUAGAGGUGGAAAUUCGUAGAUAUUCGGAAGAACACCAGUGGCGAAGGCGGCUCACUGGCCCGAUACUGCGCUGAGGCACGAAAGCGUGGGGAGCAAACAGGG